UACGGAGGAUGCAAGCGUUAUCCGGAUUUAUUGGGUUUAAAGGGUGCGCAGGUUGUUUGAUAAGUCAGUGGUGAAAGUCUGUCGCUUAACGGUAGGAUUGCCAUUGAUACUGUUGGACUUGAAUAUGGAUGAGGUAGGCGGAAUGUGUAGUGUAGCGGUGAAAUGCAUAGAUAUUACACAGAACACCGAUUGCGAAGGCAGCUUACUAAUCCAUCAUUGACGCUGAGGCACGAAAGCGUGGGGAGUCAAACAGGAUUA
rnacentral:rRNA from 1 species